rnacentral:tRNA from 1 species
GUGAAUGGAUAACGCGUCUGCCUACGGAGCAGAAGAUUGUAGGUUCGAAUCCUGC